GGCUUUUUGAGGAUAAUUUAAAGUCUGACCUGCCCAAUGAUUGAAUUAUUGAAUGGCCGCAGUAUUUUGACUGUGCAAAGGUAGCAUAAUCAUUAGUUUUUUAAUUGAAAGCUUGUAUGAAAGGUUUGAUGAAAAAAUAACUGUCUUUAUGUAAAUUUUUUAAAAGUUUAUUUUUAAGUUAAAAAGCUUAAAUAUGUAUUAAAGACGAGAAGACCCUAUAGAGUUUUAUAUAAAUAUAAGAUUAUUUAAUUUAAGAAUUUUUUGAUAAUUUUAUAAUAAUUAUUUGGUUGGGGUGAUUUAAAAAUUAAUUUAACUUUUUAAUAGAGAAUACAUUUAUUUAUGAAUUUUUGAUCUUUUUUAAAGAUUAAUAGAUUAAAUUACCUUAGGGAUAACAGCGUAAUUUUUCUUAGAGUUCUUAUCAAAAGAAAAGAUUGCGACCUCGAUGUUGGAUUAAAAUUAAUUAUUGGUGUAGAAGCUAAAUAAAUUAGGUCUGUUCGACCUUUAAAAUUUUACAUGAUCUGAGUUUAAACCGGUGUAAG
rnacentral:rRNA from 1 species